ensembl:lncRNA
UUUAGCUUCUUCCUGUCUGCUACUGACACAAACAGCCCUUGCUCAUUUAUUAGCAGCUGUGCAGCCAAUUAUCUCCCUGCCCCCUUUCCUGUGUUCUACCAGCAGCUUCGGCCAUGCACAGGGGAGGAGAGGUAGGGAGGCAAAGGGGGGAGGAGAGGAGAGAGAGAGAGAGAAGGGGAGUGUUCCUCUCCUCUGACAUCGUCAUAAAGGAAUCCCCUCUGCUAGGCUGAGCCCGCCUACUUGCUUACUCUCACCCCGUCUGGCUCCCAGACACACUCGCGUUCACACACACUCCUGUCUGCACGGCCAAAGCAGGAACGGACUGACAAGGAAAAAAGGACAAAGAGUGGGAGACGCGGAGACAUUGCGAGAGAGACGGGAGAUGGGAUGGGGACUGUGAAGGUCAACUUUUAGAGUGUGACAUUGAAGAGCGUGAAGAACAAGAGGGAGAGGAAAAGGAGUAAAAACUGUUGUCUCAGAGGGGCAAUUCAGCAGUUCCUGCAACCUGUUGAUCAGGACGGGACGUUCACACAGAGUCGGAGUAAAAGUCUGCCUGCUGUUCAAAUGUACUGUGUUGUUGGCACUGGAAUAUUGCCCCGUUAUGAGGUCUGCCACUGUGGACCGGCUCCAUUACAAAGCAUCUUGUUGUGACCGUGUGGAGACCGGCCUAGGCUUUAAAAAGCGCAACUCGUAAAACAGAAAGGAAAUUAAGAAGACGUACAACUGGGAUCUAAAACGGGCCGCACUGGGUACAUUUUUAUGUUGACAUUUUGGUUUUCUGUUAACCGAGCGAUUAAAAAAACUGUCCCGAAGGCAAUGUAAAUGUACACUUUAGUUUACUGUAGAGUCAAAAAAGUUGAUUUUGAAAGUUAGCGAGAACAGACAAUGCUAUUCUGUUUUCUUCCCAGUAGCACCCAAACACUGAACCUCACUUUGGCCUGGUGAAAACUGGAAAGCUUCCACAUGAGAUGCUGCUUUUAGCUCAAAACGAUGCUCACAACUGGGCUGGAAAAAGUUUGCGUUCUAUUUAUGGAAGCUCUGUCUAAACACUAGAUUUGUGAAACAGAGGUGCCCGCUUUAGUGAUAACAUUUCCCGGCCACUGCCCCAAAGAGACAACAGACAGCCAGCUAAAGCUUAUUUAGAGUCUGGAGUUCCCACUGACUCAUACCUUGUACACAGCAAAAUAUUCAAGCUGCUGAAAAUAAGAGCAACUCAAAGGAGGGCGGCAAAAUGAGCGGAUCAGCCGGGAUCUGGAGACUGGAAUGGUGUUCAUUAAAUAAAGUUUAUCCUGUCCAGACAAGUGAAAUUCAACCAAAAGAAAUUCACAGCAUUAUGUUGUGCUCCGGGGCGGGAUGGCUGUGUGUGCUUCUCUUCUUCUCCUUUUUUUUUCUUUUAAGGAAUACGCAGGAUCAGACUUUAUGUUUUCACAAUGUAUAAAAGCAAAGGUUCUCUAUGCAACAUGAAAAUCCCUAACAAUUUCUUAAGAGAUUUUGCUGUAACUUAGCAGCAGAGGAAACAUGCUCCAGUGCUCUUUUUCUCAUUUUGUUUUGUCUUUGGUUUUCCCCUGUUCACAAGGGGCACAGAUAAAGGGUGCAGGGUAAGCGUCUGUUAAAGGCAGUGCCAUUCGAGUGGCCACUUCCUUCUAACCUAAUUCUCCAUUCUGUCAUUGAAAAGCUAUUUUUAUAAGAGGCCACGGGAAGUCUGGGAGUUGACAAGGACCACGUACAGUGCACACAGGGUUGAGAAAAUGCAGUGACUGACCUGCGAAUGACAAACAUGUGACAGAGCCAGACUGCUCUCUAUGUGUAUUGGGGGGGUUAAAGAAGAAGGGAGCUGCUGCUUAAAAAGGUGACAGUGAUGCUCGAGUCUUAUUGUGGUAUUUAUUACUGCGCAUGCUUUGAAGUCUUCUUUCCACCACAGACCGUCCAGCUCUAUCUGUUGGCCAGGGGAAUUCCUGGCAGAGUGAUUUUUUUUAAACUAGAGGACUGAAUCACAUUGCCAGGGAUUUCCAAUGGCUGACACGAAGAAAGCAGCCUCUUCGUCGCACGCGCGCCAAUUUGCCAACUCAUACACAGUCACUCAUUUGCAUACACACAUAGAAACGUCUCCUUUCUGUGUCACAAACAGAUGCCCGUCGAAGCCUGGCUGUGCGGCAGCAGGACUUAACCCACAUGUGAACAGUGAGUGUCUGCCAUGUUCACAGUGGUUAAGUUCUGCCGCCACAGGGCUGCAGCCUGCAGGGGACAAGGGAGAGGAGUAAAGGUCAGGGAGGGGCCGCACUGCAUCAAAAACACCACUCUCCACAUCAACACCAGGCUUCACAUGAGCAUGAUCUCGUCCCAUGACUAUAUCCUCCCAACAAAAAUCUGCUUUUUUAUAUAAAAUGUGGAUCUAGCCGCCUGUUCGAUGAUUUACUUAAGAACCUGUGACCUUCUUUGGCACUUGAACCCAACAACAACAAAGCAAAAAAGAUCUUUAUCUGUCACACCAUCGCCCAUUUUUUUCUGUUAUCUCAUCGCUGCCCUGCUUUCUCAAGCGGUUUAUAGAAACUUGAGCAGCAAACUCAGUGAGUCUAUUUUUCCUUAAAGGAAGCUUUUCAGGAAGUCUGCCACACAAACCCGGCACCCAUCAAAGGAAGUGUCAAAAAAGCCAAUUUCACCUAAAUGACAGCAAAUGCUGUGCCAUACUGCAAAUUUUGGUAUCGAUCCGAUACCAAAAUACAGAGCCAGAAUUAUCAAUGCUGCUACUUUUAACUGAUAAAUGCAGCUUAUGUAGGGGAGUGUGUCAUGACUUAUGAGAUGAAUUACCACAAUAAUCACUCAGUACAACAAAUCAGCGUUUCAUGUGGCUGUCUCUAAAGCACUCUGGAUCAGCUUCUGUCCUUUAAAUGUGCUACGUACUGAACAUAAGGAUAGAAGAGUAUCGGUCCAAUUGUGCUAGUAUCCAUCUGAUACCAACACCAGUAUUGGUAUCGAUACUAUCAAUAUUUGAAUCGAUCCACUGCCCGCUACUAGAAAGCAUCACGUUGCCGGUAACGAGGCAAAUACGUCCUACUCCUCAACAGCCAGAUUGAUCCUUUGACUUUAUUUUUACGAGCUUUCCUGAUCGUUGCUAAAUUGACAACAUGUGUCGGAGGCUGUGUGUGUGCACGCGCGUGCGGGAGUACUCCAUGGAUGACUCAGUAGUGUUACGAGUCGGCACUGUGAUGUGGCUGAGUGGGAUGCAUGGGAACAGGUAUCGCACUCCAUUAUGAGCGAGUGCCUGGCAAAAACAGCUAAUCUGGUGAAUUAGCCGAAAUUGUUCGGUCUCAGUGUGUCAGAGCCUGAUAAAUGUCAGGCGUCUCAUUAGUGUCGAAGGCUGCUCCCGUUCCUGUUGGGCGGGCAAUAUGUCAUCUUGUGUUGUCGGGUGUAUUGCUAGCUGCCAGGCUCUCUCUGGUGUGUGUGUGUGUGUGUGUGUGUGUGUGUGUGUGUGUGUGUGUGUGUGUGUGUGUGUUUUCACUUCUACCUGUUGAUUUCUGCAUGAGCAUCAGUGUCUGUUUGGCUCGUUGUUGUGUGUCUGUGUUUAUGUGUGUGUGACCACCUCUGUCCCCUCCUCCUCACCCCCCCGCUGGGUCGGUCUCCUGUGCCUGCUGUGCUGAUAAUCAGUGUGUGACGUCGGCUGGCUCAGUUCAGCAGGAACAGGGGACUGUUCUCAUUUCCACACUCUUUCUCUCUCACACACACACAAACACACACACACACUUUAAUGUCAGUUUAAUAACAACAUUAACACCAGCGUGUUUUCUUUAGUUAUGCAGCUCUUUUUCAUGACAUACACAGACCUUUAAAAGCAUAUAACCAUAAAAGCUUAUAAUGUAUUAUAAAUGUUAGAAAUUUUUUAAACUGUAUUUUUAGGGUUUCUUUCUUUGUUUUUUGUACCGUGAUCUAUGAAAAUGAAAAAAUAUAUCAAUUAAUUAAGUCUGUUUAAGUAUAUUUGAAUCUUUUUUGGAAAAAUAAAACUUGUUUUGGAAAAAAAAGAAGACCUGUGCAUUUGUGUUCUGUGACUCAUUCCUUCACCUAUCAAAUAAACCUCUUUAACCUUUGCGUCUCUCACUUGCUCUCCAUCACUUUCUUUGUCUUUCUUAUCUACGCUGAGGUCGCAAGCAGGAAAUCAGAUAUGCGGCAAAUGGCCACCAAUCAGCAGGUAAAAGUUACACCGCGCCUGCUUACGUUCGCCUGUGAAACCAGAGAGCGAAUGAAAUCACUCGGCUCUGGUUUUUUUGUGUGGCGGUGAACUUAAUUUGUAGGCUAUGUUUCUAUUGUGUACAGAAAUUCAUAUUGCUUAAAUCCAAAGAGCUUUCUGUGCCAUUACGCAACAAUAAGCUUUUACUUCCUACGGAUUUCGCACAGUCUGUCACGCUUACCACACAACUGAAAGAUUUGUGACAACAGAGGUGUGUGUGUCUGUGUGUGUCUGUCUGUGUGGGGGGGCAAAAUCAAGAAAUUGACAGGCAGCAGUUUCAACUUUCAAAAUAAAGAAAAAGUGCAAAAUUCAUCACUAUUCUAACUCAAAACUACACUCAUAAUUCAUCAAUCCGUGUCCACAUUAUAAAGAAAACAAGCACUAAUGUGGAGAAGGGGGGGGAAAUGGACAUUUCUACACAAAAACCAUAAAAUAUAUAUAUAUAUAUAUAUAUAUAAACAAUGGUUAUGAGAAGAGGACAAAGGAAAGUCUUACACUGUUUUCCAUUUUUUCAUUUGUGCUUUAGUUAGGAUGUACUUUUUGUUUCCACAGCGACCUGAAAGUGAAAAAAGUACAGUGAGAGCUAUGAGUGUAAAGGUUUCACAUCUCUCUUUUUUUUAACAGUUUAAUCAUCACCCUUACCUCAUUCAUGGACAUGUCAGAAUUCAUUCAUUUAGCUAAAUGCAGUUACACCUCGGUAAUUUUAACAAGAGCCUGUAAGAGAUAUAAAAACCCUCAUGCAUCUUCUCCAUGCAGAGUCCAGGUUUAUUUCGGUGCUGUUAGGCAUUUAUUUGUUGUUGCUCUUUCACACCGUUUUGACCACAUCCUCAGCCCAUAGACAUUUUAUAAAAAUACUUGUAAAAACACCCACCGAAAGCCUACACAAAAAUACAGCAGGAAGUGUGACAAACAUGACUGUAUUGCAGGGUUAAGUUUUUUUUGUACAUUUUUAACUUGAGCUAGCUUUCAACCUUUCCUGAGCUUUGCCUUAAACAAGGUAUAAAAAGUGGUCUUACUAUAAAUGAGCAAAAGGGUGCUUUUAAUAAAGUACUAAAGUAUUGCUAGAGUAUUUUUAUUAAAUAGAAAUCAGUUCACUUCUAUAUCAGUUUCUCUCAAUUUGUACCCCUUUAAUUACUCUUCCACAUUGUUAAAUUUAUUAUUGCUCUCCUAUCAAAUUUCUUUACAAAUUAUACUUUUUUUUAAAUAACAAAAGAGACACUUAACAAAUGUGCAUGAAAAUGUUAACCAGCUAUUAAUAUUAACUUUAUUUAUAUGGCACUUUUCAAAACACGGCGUUACUAUGGGUUAUUUUUCCACGCAGACAUGAAAGAUGUUUCACGGCGGCAGCUUUAGAGAACAUCAAUACUAUUAAACACAAUUUGUAAUCAUUUAGAGCAGGCAUGACAAACUCACUACUUUGAUCUUAAGCGUGUCGGAUCAGUCAAACUCCUAUUUUCUGUCAGUGUAAAGAAACUAAACUACACAACUGUGAGAUGAGGAAAAGAUGUGCAAUUUCAAUAACACGUCUCGGUUUUUGUACAUAAUAGAAAGAUGCUGCUGUUGAAAACAAAAGAAACCUGUGAGCGUGGAUCUUUCUGUAAGAAAUAAAUGUGUAGAGUUACUGAAAAUGGCAUUGCUCAGACUAUCCUGUGAUUAUAAAGUACACAUUUUUAUUUAUGUAUUUUUUGUUUACCACGAACCCAUUC